UACGGAGGGUGCGAGCGUUGUCCGGAAUCACUGGGCGUAAAGGCGCGUAGGCGGCCUGAUAAGUAGGGGGUGAAAUCCUGCGGCUUAACCGCAGGGCUGCCUUCUAAACUGUCAGGCUCGAGCACAGUAGAGGCAGGUGGAAUUCCGGUGUAGCGGUGAAUGCGUAGAGAUCAGGCGACACCGUGGCGAAGGCAGCUCGCUGGACGUGACUGACGCUGAGACGCGAAGCGUGGGAGCAACAG
rnacentral:rRNA from 1 species